UUUAUGUUGUUCUUGAUUUUGGGUUUUGAAAAAUAGCUUUUGCUACGUUUAUGGCUGUUCUUGCUGUUGUGUUUAGAGUUUCUUUUGAAAAAAUCUCUUACUGUUGAUCUGUCUCUAUGUUAACCUCUCAUCCAAAUUUAUGAAGACCAUAUUAAGUCUUAAGAAACUCCUUGCUUUCUUGAAUUUCUCAUCCCAGAUUAUGUGGGAUUUGGUUUAUUCUGUUUUAAGUUAAUGUCAAAAGCGCUUUUUGGAUGCUUAGGUUAAACUUAUGGAUAAAGCUUCAAACUGAAUGAUUCAUUUAGUUGUUUUUCAACUCUCUAAGUGCUUUUGAAAAGUGCUUUUAAAAUAAGCUAUUUUCUCUUUGCAGGUCACAGGUUUGAAGGGACUUUGAUGGAAUGGAAAAGUGGCUGCUCCAAGCUUCAAGACAUCAUGUUUUUGCGUCUAGGUCCAAAGGAGUGUUUAACCAAUCCAUUGAUUUUGGUCUUGGUCAUUAGAAUUAGGAACCUGUUUUUGUUUUUGCAGCAACUUCCACUUAGUCAAAAAAUGUAAUUAUUUAGUUUUAAUAAAAAAAAAUUUAAAGACAUAAUGUAUUUGGAUUAUUUGGAACUUAUUGAAAUA
rnacentral:lncRNA from 1 species